rnacentral:rRNA from 1 species
UACGGAGGGAGCGAGCGUUGUUCGGAAUUACUGGGCGUAAAGGGCGCGUAGGCGGUUUGGUAAGUCAGAUGUGAAAUUCACCGGCUCAACCGGUUGAACUGCAUCCGAUACUGCCAGACUUGAGAUCAGUAGAGGAGAGUGGAAUUCCCAGUGUAGCGGUGGAAUGCGUAGAUAUUGGGAAGAACACCGGUGGCGAAGGCGGCUCUCUGGACUGAUUCUGACGCUGAGGCGCGAAAGCUAGGGGAGCGAACAGG